GCAAGUUUUUCCGCUAUCCACAAGCACUGUUCUCAGAGGUUGCUCAUUGUACUUUAGGUGUGGGGAGAGAGCCGCGAGUGGAUCGCUCAAACAGAUGCAUUGCGAGUGCGGGCACGUUUGGAAAUGGACGGCUUGAAAUUUAGUCAGAUGACUGGGCCAAAGCGGCAGCCGCCGGACUCGGAGGACACGCGGAAGGGACGCCAACCUGCAUUUGGACACGCAGUAGACAAUCACAAAAGCAGAG